UGAAAUAGAGGAAAAGGAGAUGCGGCUCUGGCUGAAAAAAGCACCGCAAGAAAGUAGGAGCGGUGGAGAAAGUCUGAGACAAAGGUGGGAUCUGGGCUGGCACCUGGAACACCUGGGCUGCACUGGGGCAUGGCUGGGAAGCCUGCAGAGGUCCAGCACUUGCCCAUGACCUUCAUCCAGGGCCCACCUGGGCUUUGUUUCCUCCUGGGGGCUGCCUAAGCUGUGCUGCAUGUGCAGGGCGCAGGGGCACUUGGCAGUGGACUGCCUUGUCCAAGUCUGCUCCCUGUGCAAAGCAAAAGGCCACAAGGCCCAGGCCUGUAAGGAGCUCUGGCGCUGCAACUUGUGCAGGGAAAAAGGACAUGUUUUUAAAGCCUGCCCCAAAUCCUUCGUCAACAUGUUGAAGAGCAAAGGGGUGACUACCGUGGUCCUGACCUCCAAAGCGGCAACAGGGAGCAAGGGGGCCAAGGAGAAAAAGGAAGAGCCCCUGAAGAGGGGGGCCCGGAAAGGAGGCCUGCGAGUCCAAUGGGAAUGGGAGGGGGUCGUCCCAGGAUGCGGAGCUCACCUGUGAGAGCAUCACCUUGGACGAAUCCUGCAAAAAGAGUAGGGGUCCCCAUCCACACCCUGCAGAGGCCACCAUGGACCGAGGGCAUGCACCAGGCCGUCUCGUGCACGCUGCUGGAGGGGGGCUCUGGGCCUCGGCAUCCCACCUGCAGACUGCUGAUGCCUAAGAGUCUCAGUGGAGCCUGUGUCCUGACAAGAUGUACUUGGACUCCGGGACUGGUGGUGUGGUC